UACGUAGGGGGCAAGCGUUAUCCGGAAUUACUGGGUGUAAAGGGUGAGUAGGCGGCAUGGUAAGCCAGAUGUGAAAGCCCGGGGCUCAACUCCGGGACUGCUUUUGAAACUGUGUGACUGGAGUGCAGGAGAGGUAAGCGGAAUUCCUGGUGUAGCGGUGAAAUGCGUAGAUAUCAGGAGGAACACCAGUGGCGAAGGCGGCUUACUGGACUGUAACUGACGUUGAGGCUCGAAAGCGUGGGGAGCAAACAGG
rnacentral:rRNA from 1 species